GAUUAAUAUGCUAAAAUUGGGUGUAUUUCAUUUAAAGGAAAUUUUACAUGGUAAUCCAUCCUAGCAUUAAUAUUAUUGCAGAUGUUUCAAUGCUUUACCUACAACCAUUUGAUAGAAUUAAGAGAUGAAAGCAAUGUUUUUAUAUUUUUUUUUAAGUUUUUGCAUUUCUUGAGAUGUAACAGUUAACCUGACCCACCCAGCCUUCUCGCCAUAUGAAUGGGAUAGCAGAAGACCAGUCUAUGGAAUUAAUCUUCAUCCCAUACCUGCUAUGUAGCAGGAACCCAGAACCCAUUACUAAAAAAAACAUUUUUUUAUAGUGCUUUUGCUGCACUUAUGGUUAUUGAAGAAAUAGGAUUUUUUACAUCAUGCUUUAAGUCCAUAGACAGAAGAAUAUCAUUGAUUUUUUUUAUUUUUUAGAAUUUUUAUAUUAAAAUGGUUGAUGGUGAAUUGAAUAUGUUACUAUGUAACAUGAUGAAAAAAAUGUUUGCUUUAUUCAUAUUUGUGAUCAUAAUAGAUUUGAAUAAAUGUUGUAUAA
rnacentral:misc_RNA from 1 species